rnacentral:rRNA from 1 species
UGCAACUCGACUACAUGAAGCUGGAAUCGCUAGUAAUCGCGGAUCAGAAUGCCGCGGUGAAUACGUUCCCGGGUCUUGUACACACCGCCCGUCACACCAUGGGAGUUGGGAAUGCCCGAAGCCGGUGACCUAACCGAGAGGGAGGAGCCGUCGAAGGCAGGUCUGAUGACUGGGGUGAAGUCGUAACAAGGUAAC